rnacentral:rRNA from 1 species
GAUGAACGCUGGCGGCGUGCCUAAUACAUGCAAGUCGAGCGAACAGAUAAGGAGCUUGCUCCUUUGACGUUAGCGGCGGACGGGUGAGUAACACGUGGGUAACCUACCUAUAAGACUGGGAUAACUUCGGGAAACCGGAGCUAAUACCGGAUAACAUUCGGAACCGCAUGGUUCUAAAGUGAAAGAUGGUUUCGCUAUAACUUAUAGAUUGACCCGCGCCGUAUUAGCCAGUUGGUAAGGUAACGGCUUACCAAGGCGACGAUACGUAGCCGACCUGAGAGGGUGAUCGGCCACACUGGAACUGAGACACGGUCCAGACUCCUACGGGAGGCAGCAGUAGGGAAUCUUCCGCAAUGGGCGAAAGCCUGACGGAGCAACGCCGCGUGAGUGAUGAAGGGUUUCGGCUCGUAAAACUCUGUUAUUAGGGAAGAACAAAUGUGUAAGUAACUGUGCACGUCUUGACGGUACCUAAUCAGAAAGCCACGGCUAACUACGUGCCAGCCGCCGCAGUAA